ACGCUCGACACCUACGGGAGCAGCAGUGGGGAAUACUGCACAAUGGGGGAAACCCUGAUGCAGCGACGCCGCGUGGAGGAAGAAGGUCUUCGGAUUGUAAACUCCUGUUGUUGGGGAAAAAGAGGAUGGUACCCAACAAGGAAGUGACGGCUAACUACGUGCCAGCAGCCGCGGUAAUCUGAGGCGGGCUGGCGAAGGC
rnacentral:rRNA from 1 species